UUAAGAAACGAAUAAAUGUGCUUAAGAAAGAUCUCUAUGUCUUUCCUAUAUAAAAAACAAGCUUUAGUAAUAACCUCCUUAUAAAUCAAUAUAUCAAUAAUUUUCUAUUUCCUAUGUGUAUUUUUAAGGUUUAUUUCAAUUAUCCAAUAUAGCCUGUUUAAGUGCAUUUGUUACUCAAUAAAUCUGGUUUGUGUUUGUUUUUAUUUGCCCGACGUGUUCGUUUACACGUUACACCUCAUCACGUACGACUCUACGUGGGUGUUUACGACCUGAUUGGUGCGUAACUCCAUCAGCUGAUGGAUGACCGGUGGGACGCACCGUGCUCCUCUGAGAGCGCGCGCUCCGCGUGGGCGCUCAGUCCACCUGUCGUCACCUUAAUGGAGGACGAUUCUUUUUUUUUUUUUUAAGUUGUUAUAUUUUGACGGAUCGCCGCUGCGAAAAUAUGUCGAUAAUCGGGUUGUUUGAUUAGUAUUAAUUCAAACAUGCUGGAUUUAUAACGAGAUUUUUCGAGGAUGCAAAAAGCAGAGCGCGCACCAAAGGCGACCCGCCACCCCCCCCCCCCCCCCGACACCUCCAAUCUACAGCAGUACCUGGCACAUCAGGAAAUUGGAGCAACUUAUUCUCUACCACCAUCACCAGUGUCUGGACUCCCAAUGGGGGGGAUAUAGCUCGGCUCAGCAUCCCGGCCCCUGGUCUGUCCUACGGCAGGAUGGAGUCCAUCCCCCAAAUGCAUUGCAAAAUCAAUAUUCAUGCAUGUUAUAAUAAAGCAGUGUUCAAACUUCAACAA